AAUAGUUAGUAACUCCGAAUUUGGCAGUCUAAUGGAAACUACGGCAGCCAAAUCGAUGGGUUUACCGGGAAAUUGGUAAGCCUCCCGUUGCGGAAAGGAGUCAGUGCUAUCUUUU
rnacentral:ncRNA from 1 species